GAUGAACGCUGGCGGCGUGCCUAAUACAUGCAAGUCGAGCGAACGGACGAGAAGCUUGCUUCUCUGAUGUUAGCGGCGGACGGGUGAGUAACACGUGGAUAACCUACCUAUAAGACUGGGAUAACUUCGGGAAACCGGAGCUAAUACCGGAUAAUAUUUUGAACCGCAUGGUUCAAAAGUGAAAGACGGUCUUGCUGUCACUUAUAGAUGGAUCCGCGCUGCAUUAGCUAGUUGGUAAGGUAACGGCUUACCAAGGCAACGAUGCAUAGCCGACCUGAGAGGGGGGUCGGCCACACUGGAACUGGGACACGGUCCAGACUCCUACGGGAGGCAGCAGUAGGGGAUCUUCCGCAAUGGGCGGAAGCCUGACGGAGCAACGGCGCGUGAGUGACGGAAGUCUUCGGAUCGUAAAACUCUGUUAAUAGGGAAGAACAUAUGUGUAAGUAACUGUGCACAUCUUGACGGUACCUAAUCAAAAAGCCACGGCUAACUACGUG
rnacentral:rRNA from 1 species